GAGUCACAUAGCAAUAUGUGGCAUACGGCUCAGUAACACGUAGUCAACAUGCCCAGGGGACGUGGAUAACCUCGGGAAACUGAGGAUAAACCGCGAUAGGUCAUCACUUCUGGAAUGGGUAAUGACUUAAACCUAUAUGGCCCCUGGAUUGGACUGCGGCCGAUCAGGCUGUUGGUGAGGUAAUGGCCCACCAAACCUGUAACCGGUACGGGCUCUGAGAGGAGGAGCCCGGAGAUGGGCACUGAGACAAGGGCCCAGGCCCUAUGGGGCGCAGCAGGCGCGAAACCUCUGCAAUAGGCUAAAGCUUGACAGGGUUACUCUGAGUGAUUUCCGUUAAGGAGAUCUUUUGGCACCUCUAAAAAUGGUGCAGAAUAAGGGGUGGGCAAGUCUGGUGUCAGCCGCCGCGGUAAUACCAGCACCCCGAGUGGUCGGGACGUUUAUUGGGCCUAAAGCAUCCGUAGCCGGUUCUACAAGUCUUCCGUUAAAUCCACCUGCUUAACAGAUGGGCUGCGGAAGAUACUAUAGAGCUAGGAGGCGGGAGAGGCAAGCGGUACUCGAUGGGUAGGGGUAAAAUCCGUUGAUCCAUUGAAGACCACCAGUGGCGAAGGCGGCUUGCCAGAACGCGCUCGACGGUGAGGGAUGAAAGCUGGGGGAGCAAACCGGAUUAGAUACCCGGGUAGUCCCAGCUGUAAACGAUGCAGACUCGGUGAUGAGUUGGCUUAUUGCUAACUCAGUGCCGCAGGGAAGCCGUUAAGUUUGCCGCCUGGGGAGUACGGUCGCAAGACCGAAACUUAAAGGAAUGGCGGG
rnacentral:rRNA from 1 species